ACGGAAGGCAGCAGUGGGGGAUAUUGCACAAUGGGGGAAACCCUGAUGCAGCGACGCCGCGUGAGCGAAGAAGUAUUUCGGUAUGUAAAGCUCUAUCAGCAGGGAAGAAAAUGACGGUACCUGACUAAGAAGCUCCGGCUAAAUACGUGCCAGCAGCCGCGGUAAUACGUAUGGAGCAAGCGUUAUCCGGAUUUACUGGGCGUAAAGGGAGCGUAGACGGUUUGCCAAGUCUGAUGUGAAAGGUGGGGGCUCAACCCCCAAACUGCAUUGGAAACUGGUAGACUAGAGUGUCGGAGAGGUAAGUGGAAUUCCUAGUGUAGCGGUGAAAUGCGUAGAUAUUAGGAGGAACACCAGUGGCGAAGGCGGCUUACUGGACGAUAACUGACGUUGAGGCUCGAAAGCGUGGGGAGCAAACAGGAUUAGAUACCCUGGUA
rnacentral:rRNA from 1 species